rnacentral:rRNA from 1 species
GGUCAUUUAGAGGAAGUAAAAGUCGUAACAAGGUUUCCGUAGGUGAACCUGCGGAAGGAUCAUUACCGAGUGCGGGCCCUCGCGGCCCAACCUCCCACCCUUGUCUAAACACCUGUUGCUUUGGCGGGCCCACCGGGGCCACCUGGUCGCCGGGGGACAUCGUCCCCGGGCCCGCGCCCGCCGAAGCGCCCUGUGAACCCUGAUGAAGAUGGGCUGUCUGAGUACUAUGAAAAUUGUCAAAACUUUCAACAAUGGAUCUCUUGGUUCCGGCAUCGAUGAAGAACGCAGCGAAAUGCGAUAAGUAAUGUGAAUUGCAGAAUUCCGUGAAUCAUCGAAUCUUUGAACGCACAUUGCGCCCCCUGGCAUUCCGGGGGGCAUGCCUGUCCGAGCGUCAUUUCUGCCCUCAAGCACGGCUUGUGUGUUGGGUGUGGUCCCUCCGGGGACCUGCCCGAAAGGCAGCGGCGACGUCCGUCUGGUCCUCGAGCGUAUGGGGCUUUGUCACUCGCUCGGGAAGGACCUGCGGGGGUUGGUCACCACCAUAUUUUACCACGGUGGACCUCGGAUCAGGUAGGAGUUACCCGCUGAACUUAAGCAUAUCAAUAAGCGGAGGA